rnacentral:rRNA from 1 species
UACGUAGGGGGCAAGCGUUGUCCGGAUUUAUUGGGCGUAAAGAGCGUGUAGGCGGCUUUACAGGUCCGUUGUGAAAACUCGAGGCUCAACCUCGAGACGUCGGUUGAAACCACCUGGCUAGAGUCCGGAAGAGGAGAGUGGAAUUCCCGGUGUAGCGGUGAAAUGCGCAGAUAUCGGGAAGAACACCCGUGGCGAAGGCG